GCUGCGGUCUAGGAGCUCGCCAAGAUUGGCAUCGCAAGGUAUUGAGGAAAGAAUCCUAGGCACCUGAUCAGUACAAGCAAACUUGGAAUAACCUUGUUAUCUUCAAGUGGGAGUAAUCAGAAGCUCCACUUUCAGAGGCCGUAUCCCAAGAGAAGAGGUUUUACUGGCUUCAAUGGUUCGUUGCCAUG